GUGGGGAAUAUUGGACAAUGGGCGCAAGCCUGAUCCAGCCAUGCCGCGUGAGUGAUGAAGGCCUUAGGGUUGUAAAGCUCUUUUGUCCGGGAAGAUAAUGACUGUACCGGAAGAAUAAGCCCCGGCUAACUUCGUGCCAGCAGCCGCGGUAAUACGAAGGGGGCUAGCGUUGUUCGGAAUCACUGGGCGGAAAGCGCACGUAGGCGGACCAUUAAGUCAGGGGUGAAAGCCUGGAGCUAAACUCCAGAACUGCCUUUGAUACUGAUGGUCUCGAGUAUGGAAGAGGUUGGUGGAACUGCGAGUGUAGAGGUGAAAUUCGUAGAUAUUCGCAAGAACACCGGUGGCGAAGGCGGCCAACUGGUCCAUUACUGACGCUGAGGUGCGAAAGCGUGGGGAGCAAACAGGAUUAGAUACCCCGGUAGUCC
rnacentral:rRNA from 1 species